GGUAGUAAAAGUCGUAACAAGGUUUCCGUAGGUGAACCUGCGGAAGGAUCAUUAACGAGUUAGGGUCUUCUAGGCCCGACCUCCCAACCCUUUGUUUACUGAACCAUUGUUGCCUCGGUGGAUCCGUCUUACGACCGCCGGGGGAUCGCCGCGAGGCGCCCCCUGGCCAGCGCCCACCGAUAGCCCAACCUUUAAAACCCUUUGUGAAUCGUGUCUUAUGUCUAAAUUUAUGAUUAAACAAUCAAAACAAAACUUUCAACAACGGAUCUCUUGGUUCUG
rnacentral:misc_RNA from 1 species